rnacentral:rRNA from 1 species
AGUGAACGCUGGCGGUAGGCCUAACACAUGCAAGUCGAACGGCAGCACAGUAAGAGCUUGCUCUUACGGGUGGCGAGUGGCGGACGGGUGAGGAAUACAUCGGAAUCUACUUUUUCGUGGGGGACAACGUAGGGAAACUUACGCUAAUACCGCAUACGACCUACGGGUGAAAGCAGGGGAUCUUCGGACCUUGCGCGAUUGAAUGAGCCGAUGUCGGAUUAGCUAGUUGGCGGGGUAAAGGCCCACCAAGGCGACGAUCCGUAGCUGGUCUGAGAGGAUGAUCAGCCACACUGGAACUGAGACACGGUCCAGACUCCUACGGGAGGCAGCAGUGGGGAAUAUUGGACAAUGGGCGCAAGCCUGAUCCAGCCAUACCGCGUGGGUGAAGAAGGCCUUCGGGUUGUAAAGCCCUUUUGUUGGGAAAGAAAAGCAGCAGGUUAAUACCCCGCUGUUCUGACGGUACCCAAAGAGUAAGCACCGGCUAACUUCGUG